rnacentral:lncRNA from 1 species
CUAUUAAUUAAGUAUGGUUUGCAUGAGUAAGAUAUUGGUUGGAUAAUAAUGUAUUGAGUAUAUACCCUACUUAGUAGCCAAAGGGAAGGCAAAAUAAUUGGUGGAUGGCACUGUGUUAGUGUCUAAUGAGAACUUAUUAUAAAGCAGUUGCCCCAUCUUUGGCUUAGUUCCAAAAAACAAACACCUGGUGGGCACAUCACACCAGACAAACUCUAUCCCAUCAUUUCUCACUUCCAUACUUCCACUCUUCAACAUCAAACACUCAUUAUUUUACUAUUUUUCACCAACCCCAAUUCAAGAUUAAACAUUUAAUUCCACUGCCUUUAGAUAUCUUUCACCAUCCU